rnacentral:pre_miRNA from 1 species
AGGGGGCCGUGCCACUGUCUGUGAGUGUGUGUUGCUUCCUCUCACAGUGAACCGGUCUCUUUC